GUAUAGCUCAGUGGUAGAGCACUUAUUUAGAAUGUACAAUGCCCUGGGUUCAAUUCCCAGCAC
rnacentral:tRNA from 1 species